rnacentral:rRNA from 1 species
GUGGGGAAUCUUCCACAAUGGACGAAAGUCUGAUGGAGCAACGCCGCGUGAGUGAAGAAGGGUUUCGGCUCGUAAAGCUCUGUUGUCGGGGACGAAUGUGCAGUAUUUGAAUAAAGUAGUGCAAUGACGGUACCUGACGAGGAAGCCACGGCUAACUACGUGCCAGCAGCCGCGGUAAUACGUAGGUGGCCAGCGUUGUCCGGAAUUAUUGGGCGUAAAGGGAGCGCAGGCGGGAAGGUAAGUCGGUCUUAAAAGUGCGGGGCUCAACCCCGAGAUGGGAUCGAAACGAUCUUUCUUGAGUGCAGGAGAGGAAAGUGGAAUUCCUAGUGUAGCGGUGAAAUGCGUAGAUAUUAGGAGGGACACCAGUGGCGAAGGCGACUUUCUGGACUGUAACUGACGCUGAGGCUCGAAAGCCAGGGGAGCGAACGGGAUUAGAAACCCGAGUAGUCC